AGCAUUGAUUCUGUGGCCAAUCAGAGGGAGCGUUUGGCGCCCCAGGGAUGGGUUUCCACGUGGGCUUCCAGGUUCCCCUGAGGCCUCCUGGGGGCAUGGCCGCCCUGGGACAGGAAACCGAGGCAAAGAGGCAGAGUCAGCUAUGUCAUCUGAAGGGUCCAUAGAAAAUGAAAACGUGCCGGCACGUGGUGGAGCGUCUGUCAUCCCAGCACCUAGGAAGGCCGAGGCGACUGUGGAUUGCCGUCCCUGCCCACCUAAGCCCCUGUGUCGUUUUCUCUUGAGGUGCUUGUCACUCAGUGUGGACACAGACCUGCUGCCUCAUCGCCACUUUCCAGAAACAUUUGCAGAGCCGUGUUAUGUGGUUGCCCGAGUUCUGGACAGACACACCAGGAGCAGAGGCUGGCCCUGUCCUGAUGGGGGCUUGCUGUGUGGCCCUGGGCAAGCUGCUGGACCUCUCUGAGCCUCAGUGUCCCCUUCUGUAGAGUGGAGGUAACACAGCCAGUGAGGACAUGGAGAAAGAGUGGGCAGGGGAGGCUCAUUCACUGAGAAUUUUUUCUGGUUUUUUGCAGGGAGGUCACCCAGUGAGUGUGGCUAAAACAAGAUGUGGGGGAGGGAUCCCCCCAGGGAGCAUGCGUGGCUUGCAGGGAGAGGCAGA